GGAGAGGUGCCUGAGCGGUUGAAAGGAGCACGCUGCUAAUGUGCCAGGGUAGCAAUACCCUCGUGGGUUCGAAUCCCACCCUCUCCG
rfam:Candidatus Nealsonbacteria bacterium RIFCSPHIGHO2_02_FTLL_43_13 rifcsphigho2_02_scaffold_7159, whole genome shotgun sequence.